AAGACACGACGCAAGAGAGAAGGAGGCUGUUCCGCCGUGCACUGUGGUCGCUCCUGGGGUCGAUUGAAGCCGCCGCCGCUGCUAGGACUUGCCGUGCUUUUGUCCUCACUUUCGGCUUCUACGAUUACUUCCUUUCCAGUGAUUGCUUCACGUGUUAUAAGUUGUAUAUGAUGCCAUUGGAACUCUAGCUGAAGCUGUUGGUAGGGAGCUGAAUCAGCCUGUUUAUCUUGACAUUCUCAUGCCACCAUUAAUAGAGAAAUGGUAGCAACUUUCAAAUUCAAACAAAGAUCUCUUUCCUCUCUUGGAAUGCUUUAUAUCU